rnacentral:lncRNA from 1 species
UAGUAGAUCUACUCAUGGAAGUUUAGCACAUUAAGUCAUGCCGAAUGCCAACAGGUGCUUGUUUUUGAUAUUUUUUUUUUUCCUUAAAACUCCACCUUUAUUUUUUGGCUAUUUUGUAACUUCUAAGAAAAGAAUCACAGUCAUGGAAACACACUCCAACCCCCUGCCAGGAUUUAUGGAAUUUUUGCAAGCUGUGCAUCACACUCUCGUCACAAGCAAAACAGCUUGAUGUAGAUGUACAUAACAAGCCCUGCAGUGAAGCUAUCUUUAGACAUAACUAUGGAGUUUAAAUGAAUAAACACUUUCACAGUUCAGGCUGAUUUCCAAGACAACAUCAAGUUAAAGGACCGCUUACUGAUUAAAUGCUACAUGCACUGCUACUUUACACAUGACUGCAUGGAAAAAUACACUUCAAACAAGCUACUGUACACAUUUAGCAGCACUGUUAUUACUUUAUCAAAGUGCGAUAUUUUAUUACGAACAAAAAAAAAAUAAGACACUACAAUUACUCUUUCCCAAAUGUUUUGUCAGUAAGCAUCGUUUUAUCCCCGAAUGCAUCCCCGAAAAUGACAAUUUAAAGUAUAAAACAGUAUAAUCCCUCUAAAAUAUUCUCAAUUAUAGCCUAUUUGUCUUAUCAUCCGUCAAGUUGUCUUCCUUUGAGAACAUUAGACAGUAUUAUAUCCAAGCCCCCAUGCAGAGAUCCUUCCUCUCCCUUACACUCACCUGUGUGUUCUCUAUGCUGUGUCCUGGCAGGUCUGUGGGCUGCAGGGGGCCAGCACUGACUGACAGAGGUCCUGCCGUGAGAGGCGGAGAGCUCCUCAUGGGCCUCAGCAUGCAGCCCCUUUCCCAGGCCCGCCUUGAGGCCUCCGGCCGCUCUGCAGGAGGGUCCCGCUCUGCUCUCAGACCUCAUCCACAGACCUGUGGGGCAGACAAGAGUUGCUCCAAAGCAGGCAGAAGCAAUUACACUUGGAGACAAAGAGGCCUCCAGGGGAGAUGAGAGACAUGGAGCAGUGAGUGGGAGAAACUGAACAGCUACUGGAAGUUCACUGUGCGGAUUUGUGUUGGAAAAUGUUUGAUAUAGAUGUGAAUAUAAAGUAUGUUAUUGCUGUGCUACAGUUUUAUAUCUCAUGACUUUCUUGACUUGAGUAAAUUUUAACUAAUAAUCACAAUUUGAAAUGACAUUGAAAAGGCCAUUUUGUCAUCCAUUGCCAUACAAAAAAAAAUAUUGUCUGGGAUUUACUUUAAAUGAUCACACAAACAAAUAAUUAUAUCAGUUUUCAGUCUUCACAUUUCACACAGUUUUCGUAUUUUUCCUUUCUUCCCCCAUAAUUAUCCAUAUUCCUGGUCCACACCCUUAAUGGCCCAAGUGCUGUUUCUCAUUUGAUAAAUUAGCAAAGGUACAGUUUCGAUGUUGCUUUUUCAGUACACGGGAAAGUAUUUAUGUUAGAUAGCGGUAGGUUUCCCCUCCUGCUCGGGUGAUGGGGGAUAAUUACUAUUCUGGAGCCUUAAGAUUAGAUUGUAAUUGAAAAUCAAAGUGCCUGAGUGAAAAGCCAGUGCAGAAAGACAAACGGAGGGAAAGGCAAUCUAGGCCAUCAGCCACAGUAAAUACAGUGCAACCUUGACAAGAGUUUACCUCUACAUACACCAAUGCUACAGUAGCUCAAGCAUCUGUGUGAGCUGAAUGGCCCCAAGGCCAUUCGGACCACCUUUGAGUCAACAGAGGUUUUGUCCUCACCUGUACCUUGUCUUGUCUGAGACCCUGCAAUGGGUCUCGGGUCUUUAUCAUGGUCCAGUGGAAGUGAAAGGACUUGUUCUUUUGUCGUUCUUGUGUGCUAGACAAGCACAGGAAGAUCGAGUGGACGACUCUGAUGGUGGUCGGUGCAGUGGACACAAAUAUUUGCUCCUGUGUCCACACAAAUUUAUCUAGGUGGUUGAGUCGCUGAGCGAUAGGUAAUUAACUGCACUUAGACACCACUGAACAAUGAAAUUUUUUUUUUUUGUUAUGGAAACAAUUGAUUGUGGGUGUGCAGUGGCUGACUCAGCCAUUAGUCAGUACAUUUUACAGUGAAACUGAGAGAUAUAACAAGUGUGUUUUUAUAACAAGUGAUGAAGGGACCUGUGUACCCUGAAGGGCACUUCUUCUCAACAUGCUUUAAGGAUGGGCUGCUACAACUUGCCUGUUUGUCUUCAAUGCAGAAGUGAUAAAUAGAUCUGUAUGCAUGAAUUCAGGUUGGAAUCCGUUGGGUCAGUGUUUCAUUGUCCAUCCAUGAGAAAGUGCAGAAAUGACUGCAGCUCUUCUUGAUUGUGUUUGUAUCACUCCAGUCUUAUUUACACGUAUCAGUGCAAUCAAAGUCAUGUAAUGUGAACUGAAGAUAAGCGUCAGUGUAAAAAUAAAAAUAAAUAAAUAAAUAAAAAACAUGUUGAAGCCAUUAUACAGUAAAGGUCUAUAUAUAUAAAUAUAGAUGUGAACAGGAAAGUGUAAACAUUUGCGUCAUGCACAUAUAUACUUGACAGAGAUCACGUAUUAUUCACAAGCCAUAAGUGUGUGAGGGUGGAGACUCUGGGAUUGUGUUCCUUCAGAAAAUCAACAUUUUCCUUAUCUGAUCUUCAACAAAUCCAACAGAAAAUGCUUGCAUGCCUUAGACUAAAUACUCACUAAUCUAUUGCUCAAUCGGUUUGUUUUACACAAACAUUAUGAAAUGUUUUUAUUUAGAAAAUAAAUAAAAGUGUUGUUCAGACAGCUUCAUUUCAUUAUGACUAAUGACUAUAUUUUUUUGUUAAAUAUAUAACCAAAAGCCAAUUUCUCUCUCUCUCUCUCUCUCUCUCUCUCUCUCUCUCUCUCUCUCUCUCUCUCUCUCUCUGUGUGUGUGUGUGUGUGUGUGUGUGUGUGUGUGUGUGUGUGUGUAUAAAUGUAUAAAUAUGUAACUGGCUGUAGCAUGUUUUAUCCUGUAUGCAGCUACUGUUUACCAUUUUGUUUAAACCAACAUUUAAUUUGAAUAAAAUAUUGUGCGGUCUAUUAAAGUGGUAUAUUUAAAGCUGACAUAUACAGUGUAAUUUUUUAUCAGGGAAAUACUGUAAAAACCAAGAAGGAAAUUGUAAAUAAGUUCAUGUAAACACAACUCAUAGCCUGGGGCAUUUUAAGGAGGAAAAAUUGCAAGAUUUCCCUAUAUGAUAUUGUAAAACUAUACAGGAAAUACAUUAAAGUCACUUAAACAAAAUGCCUUUGCCAGCGUUAUGGUAAAAAUCAGUUAGUAUGAGAUUUAAAAAAUAUAUUAGAAGAUUUAUUUCUGUCUCCUACAUACCUGGUGCAUUAGUACUUUAUUUAUUUACAUUUUUUUUUCAUGAAGUAUUUGGCAUGUACUCGAAUAUCAGUUAAACUGGACACUGAAACUCAAAUUAGGCAUCUUGUAAAUACAGCAGAAUGUCUCCGGGAAGACGGUGUCCUGUCUGCCAAUCUGCAAUCUCCUUAAUUGUGUUUAGAAAACAACAAAGGGGGAAAACUCCCGUUACUUUCAUACACAAGGACAAAGCAAAAUAUAAAAUGUAUAGCCUAUAGGAAAUUACAUAAAGAAAUAUAGAGAAAAUAUAAGCAAAUCGGAAGAUUUAAUGGUAUCACUUAUAGCGCUCAAAUAAACGUGGUGUGCCUAUAAAUAAUAAGCUUUAGCUUUGAUGCUUUAAAACGUAGCAUUAUAAAACAUUAAGCAUAAUAAAUAUUUGUAUUUUGUAUAUAAUAUAUUUGCACUGAAGUAGAAACAGUAUUUCGGUUCGGUAUUUCGCACGUCUGUUGCUGUCUAAGUUGUAAAUUUUUACAAUUUAAAUAAAUACACUUGUACUUUGCUUGCGCUAGGGAAAAGGACACCCUUUGUAUUUCAGGAAAUUCUAUCCAUUUCCAUUUCCACCUCUCUCCAGACAAUGCGAUUGUACCGGACUCUGAAUUACGUAGGCUAAGGGUAAAAAUAACAGGACUAUAUAAACCGACAGAAUCAGAUUGAGCAAAGCUGCUCGUUUGCGCGCACAGAACAGAACAGCACGUGCAAAACGUUUCCAUGUUUCUCUGUAAAUAGUUAGUAUACUGCUAUGAAAUUUAAAAAAAAAAUUGUUUUAAUUGUGUCUGGGAUAUUAAAUGCCUCGUCCUAUGCAUCAGGUGGAAUAGAGAUUUUUGGUUAAAGCUGCCCACCUUGUCUCUAAACAUAAGCCCGAGAGCAUUAGGCCAUUAAUUUGCAUUUUAAUCAACUGAAAGAGGAGGUCUAUUGACUCAGAGAUCAUUAAGCAUGUACCUGCAUUGUUGAACAUUGAGAUUAUCAUGUUGUUUCGAUGGCUCCGAGAUUUUACUGCUGGUUGUUCAAAUGCAAAUUAAGCAGGAGUUCGAUCUGGAUAAACUAAUACCUGCGAUCAGGUUCAUUUUAAUACGAAUGAAGAGGUGAAACUCACAGUAAUGUGGCUGGUCUAUGGAGACUUGUGGUCCCAUGUUAUAAAAUAUGUUUGUUUUAUUUUAAAUUAUUAAUUUAGCAUGUUGUUACUAUUCUCC